GUGAACGCUGGCGGUAGGCCUAACACAUGCAAGUCGAACGGCAGCACAGUAAGAGCUUGCUCUUACGGGUGGCGAGUGGCGGACGGGUGAGGAAUACAUCGGAAUCUACUUUUUCGUGGGGGAUAACGUAGGGAAACUUACGCUAAUACCGCAUACGACCUACGGGUGAAAGCAGGGGAUCUUCGGACCUUGCGCGAUUGAAUGAGCCGAUGUCGGAUUAGCUAGUUGGCGGGGUAAAGGCCCACCAAGGCGACGAUCCGUAGCUGGUCUGAGAGGAUGAUCAGCCACACUGGAACUGAGACACGGUCCAGACUCCUACGGGAGGCAGCAGUGGGGAAUAUUGGACAAUGGGCGCAAGCCUGAUCCAGCCAUACCGCGUAGGUGAAGAAGGCCUUCGGGUUGUAAAGCCCUUUUGUUGGGAAAGAAAAGCAGCAGGUUAAUACCCCGCUGUUCUGACGGUACCCAAAGAAUAAGCACCGGCUAACUUCGUG
rnacentral:rRNA from 1 species